rnacentral:rRNA from 1 species
GACGAACGCUGGCGGCGUGCUUAACACAUGCAAGUCGAACGGAAAGGCCCUGCUUUUGUGGGGUGCUCGAGUGGCGAACGGGUGAGUAACACGUGAGUAACCUGCCCUUGACUUUGUGAUAACUUCAGGAAACUGGGGCUAAUACCGGAUAGGAGCUCCUGCUGCAUGGUGGGGGUUGGAAAGUUUCGGCGGUUGGGGAUGGACUCGCGGCUUAUCAGCUUGUUGGUGGGGUAGUGGCUUACCAAGGCUUUGACGGGUAGCCGGCCUGAGAGGGUGACCGGCCACAUUGGGACUGAGAUACGGCCCAGACUCCUACGGGAGGCAGCAGUGGGGAAUAUUGCACAAUGGGCGGAAGCCUGAUGCAGCAACGCCGCGUGCGGGAUGACGGCCUUCGGGUUGUAAACCGCUUUCGCCUGUGCCGAAGCGUGAGUGACGGUAAUGGGUAAAGAAGCAACGGCUAACUACGUG